AUUGAACGCUGGCGGCAGGCUUAACACAUGCAAGUCGAGCGGAAACGAUGGGAGCUUGCUCCCAGGCGUCGAGCGGCGGACGGGUGAGUAACACUUAGGAAUCUACCUAGUAGUGGGGGAUAGCUCGGGGAAACUCGAAUUAAUACCGCAUACGACCUACGGGAGAAAGGGGGCAACUUGUUGCUCUCGCUAUUAGAUGAGCCUAAGUCGGAUUAGCUAGUUGGUGGGGUAAAGGCCUACCAAGGCGACGAUCUGUAGCUGGUCUGAGAGGAUGAUCAGCCACACCGGGACUGAGACACGGCCCGGACUCCUACGGGAGGCAGCAGUGGGGAAUAUUGGACAAUGGGGGCAACCCUGAUCCAGCCAUGCCGCGUGUGUGAAGAAGGCCUUUUGGUUGUAAAGCACUUUAAGCAGUGAAGAAGACCAUACGGUUAAUACCCGUAUGCGAUGACAUUAGCUGCAGAAUAAGCACCGGCUAACUCUGUGCCAGCAGCCGCGGUAAUACAGAGGGUGCAAGCGUUAAUCGGAAUUACUGGGCGUAAAGCGAGCGUAGGUGGCUUGAUAAGUCAGAUGUGAAAUCCCCGGGCUUAACCUGGGAACUGCAUCUGAUACUGUUAGGCUAGAAUAGGUGAGAGGAAGGUAGAAUUCCAGGUGUAGCGGUGAAAUGCGUAGAGAUCUGGAGGAAUACCGAUGGCGAAGGCAGCCUUCUGGCAUCAUAUUGACACUGAGGUUCGAAAGCGUGGGUAGCAAACAGG
rnacentral:rRNA from 1 species